rnacentral:misc_RNA from 1 species
AAGUCGUAACAAGGUCUCCGUAGGUGAACCUGCGGAGGGAUCAUUACAGAGUUCAUGCCCUCACGGGUAGAUCUCCCACCCUUGCGUAUUCAUACUUUUGUUGCUUUGGCAGGCCGCCUGGGCUCGCGCCUGGCCACCGGCUUUCGGGCUGGUGCGUGCCUGCCAGAGGAUCUCCAAACUCCAGUUAUCAGUGUUGUCUGAGUCUUAUAACAAUCGUUAAAACUUUCAACAACGGAUCUCUUGGUUCUG